CACCCUCCACCCACAUGCCCCCUCUGCCCUCCCCCACAACAAUUUUCUUUUAAUUGAUAGAUUACAGAGAGAAAUGUGAUGCUCUUGGUAAAGAGGGCUUCUAGAUUUGUGAGGAGGAGAAUGGAAAGGGAAUUAUGACAUUUUCUUUUGCCUAUCUGAUCAGUCUCCUGCCAGGGUAAAAGCUGAUUACCAAUACACAGAUGCCAUUUCUGUUGUUGGAGUUCGAAAACACCAAAGAGAAAAAGGAAUCAGAGUUUAAUUAUGAGAAUAAGGCUGUGCAAGUGGAAUCAAGAAACAACAACAACAACAACAACAACAACAACAAUAACAAUGACGACAAAGAAUUCAGUUUGCCAGUUGUGUAACAGAACACUGACAACUGGCUCAAUACUUUUUCCCCACAGAAUUGAAUUGGUGGGGCACUGAAUCGAUCCAUUUGUUUGAUAUUGUGUAGCUAUCUCAUCUUGCCACACAUUUUUCUCAAUGGGGAUAGUGAUGCCUCUCUAAGCAACCAGUUCAUUGCUUCACCGAGUAGUCCUACCCAGUGAUCCAGUUUGAUUCUCGCACCCGCCAACUCAUGCAGGUGAAUUUCAUCCUGUCUGUUCAGAAGUAUGUGAGGGCUUCACCCUUGCAACUCAGUCGAGUCUGCCUUCAAACAUGCUUUCUAACUUCAAACUCCAACUUCAACCUCUGGGAUGCAAAUGUGAAUAAAAGAAAAUGCAAUUUAGGUAGCUUCAGGGAAGCUACCAUAGAACACGUGUCCUCCUGACGCAGAGCAAAUCCAAUGCAUUCAGUGGUGUACUGUCCAAAUGAAAAGUCAUCCAUUUGGAAAUUCUACCAAACACAUUCUAGCUGAUGGUUUCUAAUUUUGCAUCUUGGUUAUUGACCAAAGAUUUGGAUCUUUUUUAUCUCAUUACAUGGGAAAACAAUGCAUCUCAACCUCAAGUCUUAAAAGUAACAAUAGCUAAUCUGCUUUUCCCAUUAUGUCAUCCAAAUAUAAAACUACUAGUAUUUUCCCAGUGAGAUUAUUAAGUAAUUAACAGACUAUAGGCUGGCUAACAGCAUGCUUACAGCUAAAUUCUACCGCAAGGACCACACUACUAAAGUCUUUUCAAAUUAAUCCUACCUACCAAACUCAGACAGUAAUAUGACAAAACCACUAAAAAAUCCAAAGCUAAUUAAAAAUAUAACGCCAAGCCAACAUCAUAACACAAACUUGUCAGACUCUCUGUGGUUGGAGCUUGGGUGACAAAUGAAGGCAUAGUGGUGGCCCUCCCUGGGUCAUGUGGCAAGGCUGAGAUUGUUUAUCCUUGCUCAGGUAGAGCUAGCUGCCCAUUACUCUGCCCAUUACCCUACCUCCACAUGCUUAUUGAGAUGUGUUUCACCAAGCCUCCAUCAAAGUCUAGAGGCAUGAUAUCUCACUGCUAUCCACACGUCUCAUGUCCCUCCCACAAACAGGUACACUGAAAAGAUUCAUUUGACAAAAUAUCUUAAUCCCUCACCCCUCAAAUAGCUGAACACCUACAAUACACAUCACCAUUUACAAUGGGAUGAAUAGAGUACCUAGAAAACAGCGACAAUCCUUCAUCCUGAUACUGAGAGGUCUCAUCUCCAGGGAUAGGAAGGUAAUUCACUGUCCAUAUUUACUUUCUUUCUAAGCUGCUUUAAAAAUGGUCCUACUAAAUAAUCAGGUGAUGAUCCAGAGCUCGACUGUGAGAUUUGAUAAUCACGCUGCUGACUUGGCACACACUUUACGCUCAGCCACCAGAGAUAACAGAGAAUCCUCUUGCCUCCCUGUUAUAUGUAAGUAGAUAUAACAAGUCACUGAAACUAGAACUACAAGUCUUUCAUUCGUGAGGCGUUAUACUCGUUUUCCUGGAAACUGCCCCUAGCAUUCUAAUGUCUAGUUUCUAGAGAUUUUGAAUUUAAAGAAGAAUCUAGUCCUAAAUCCAUGGUGGACUAGUAUCGUGGUCUAGGUUUAACAUACAAGUCUAGCCAGUAGGCUUCAUGAUAAAGUAAUAGCCAGGCACUCUACCUGGUAGGCUUUGGAAAACAGAGAGCUUGAGUCACUGUAAAGUCAUCAGCUUAAUUUUUAUAUGUGACACCUUGGGUGUUCAGAGUCCUUCAUAUUAUUGUUUUCCUCAUUUAUGAGGCUCAGAAAAGAUUCUUUCAAGGUUUCAUUUGUGUGUGUGCACAUGUGUAUGUAUGUAUGCGUGUUUUCAAGUGUUGUUGAGACUGCAAACAUGAAGCUCAACCACACUGGGAGCAUGAAAAGUGUGGGUUUCAGCUGGUGGGAAUGCUCCCAUCAGCCAUAUUAAUAGCAUGGCAUCAGCCAUUGGAGUAAAACUCCCAUAACCUUAUUAUACAACAAAAGGCCUUAAACUUAAAGAUGACCAGAGCAAAGCUCAAGUCUGGCUCUUUUGCAACUGGAAUAUAUCCAACAUCGACAGUGAGGGUGCAGUUAUCACCUGCUAUUUUUAUCACAGAUCUGCAUGACUUUCAUGUGCAUAUCUAUUAUUUAUCUGGUCAUAACUCAGUGAACAGAAUUCAAUAACUCAGCAGAUUAAAGGCUACAUGGAAUUACAUGCCAGCAGGUAAUUACAAGUAAUUAAUGCGUGGAUAGUGUUUACUACAAGUGGGUGAUUCUUCUGGUGAGCUGAAACACCAAGGAUGAUAUUUACAUUGUGAUGCUUAGGGACAGAGGAUGAAUGUAGAGGAUCAUAAGGAGGAGAGAUAGUCAUAACUGAUAUGGAAAUGUCUCCAAAUUAGGUGAGCUGUUCCCAGUCUUUAGGGCUCUUUCAAAGUGCCCCAGAGUGAAGCAUUACCCCAAGAAUCACGUUUUUGGGGGGUUAGUUAUUACAGAGUUAGGAGUUUUCUUUGUAUUUUUUAGUAAAUGUUUAUACUAAUAUAAAUUUUAAUAAAAUCAAUGAUGAUACUUCAAAUGAAAGCUAACAAGUCAGAAAAAAAGGAAAGGAAAAAAGAAC
ensembl:lncRNA